ensembl:lncRNA
GCCAAGCUCCCAGGUGAGUCAGGUGGCUGGAACCGGUGGAACUUGCUCUGGGAUGAAGAUGGGAAGCAUUUGGCUCCCCUUCAGAUCUGGUCCGCGGGCCUGGAGCCCCCAGCUUGGCUCUCCUCCCAGUUUUUAGACCGCAGCAGUCCACACAGUGGCCGAGAGCUGGGGCUUAAGAAUCAUGCAGACUCUAGUUGAAAGCCCGGCUCUUCUCCUCACUGCUUGUGGGACCACCUGGGCUUCUGGAUGUUCUUUUCGCUUGCCAGUAAAACUGCUUCUGUCAUGACUUCCCUGCGGGGUUACUGGGAGGAAGCUGAGAUAAUGUACGUGUUAUCACUGCACCUGAGACUCGCCAGAAGACCCCCUAAGCUCGGCUUACCAGUCACUUCUGGGAAGCUCGUCUUCACCCCUGGGCUAAGGGCUUCCUCUGGGCCACACCAGCAUCUCUGCACUCACUGCCCUGUGUUGCCUGUUUCCUUGUCUGUGUGCAGCUCCAGCAUCAGGUCUGGGAGCUCCUCGAGGGCAGGCAAGAGGUGACUUUCCUCUCUGAGUCACCAGCACCCUGGGUUGGGCCCAGAAAAGGGAAGCCUGAGGGGUGGUGAAGAGACCCGGAGGGAGAGACUAAAUCCUAGUCCAUACCCGUCUGCCCCACAUAGGUACAGACACACAUAGGACCUGCACACCCUCUCUCAAGCUCUCUCCGGCUGAAGGUCCUGGGGUCCGUGAACACUGAUGCUCCAUCUGGUCUUCAGUUAGUGGGGAGGGGUUGUUCUCCCCCUCCCUGAUCGCGUCUGCCGACAGCCUCAGCUGCCCCCUGGUGGCUGCACACUCAAUGAGAAGGGUAGGUUCAGUAGAGCCCUUGAACUGGACCUUCAGGGGGCUCUUCCCCCGUAAGCACUGGGACCANNNNNNNNNNNNNNNNNNNNNNNNNNNNNNNNNNNNNNNNNNNNNNNNNNNNNNNNNNNNNNNNNNNNNNNNNNNNNNNNNNNNNNNNNNNNNNNNNNNAGGGGGCUCUUCCCCCGUAAGCACUGGGACCAAAGGCCUUCCCAUGGCCAGGCCUGGGGGCCUCGCAGGUUGUGCAGCACCUUGCACUGUGGGUCUCAUGGGCAGCUGGGCCUCCAAGUGCCCCCUCUUUGUGUCUCUAGAGGCCAGCUCCUUGAAAACUUUAGGUUCUGAGUACUACUGUUGCGGCCAGGCUCUGGGGGACUUAGCAUCCGGUCCUCAUGACACACACCCCUUUCUCUCAGAAAUGGCCCGAGAGCCCCAUGGCCUCUGUCAUGAGUCAUUAUUCCAGAGAAUAAGGAAUGAUAAUGUUUGUGGUGCCCUGCUCCCUAGAGACCCUGGCCCCAUGGGGAAGAAGAAUAGAGAGCUUGGGGAGAGAGAGAGAGAGAGAGAGAGAGAGAGAGAGAGAGAGAGAAAGUGCAGGGACGAGUCUCAGUAUUGUCCUGAGCAGGUGGAACCUCAUGGGGAGCACUGAUGGGGUUGUGUGAACUGCACCUCUACCUGCAACCUGGGCGCCUUUUCCUGCUUCUCAUGAAGGCACUGGGCAGUGGGUGGCCCCGAGGGUGACAGGUGCCAGGGGACGAGCAGGAGUGUGUGGGGUGAGGAUGCAUUUGGACAAGUGGUCUGGGAGCUGGUGGGAUUUGGGGGAGGACUAGGGAGCAUUUGGGUGCAUAGGGCAGGUCUGAAGUGCAGUUGAGCAAUUUCUAGUUCAACCAGAGAUUUUGCUUUCCAGCUGGAUGCCCACUGGGAGGUUAAGAGGACAGGUCUGGGCCAGGCAGCCUGGACACAACACCGAUGUGACCCCAAUACCGUGUUGGACAAAUCAGUCAACCAAGCUCCAGGUUACUCAUCUGUAAACUGGGGGGAGUACAUGAGUGUCCAUCUAAUAAGAGGUGAAGACUCAGAGAAGCAGUGCACAUAAUACACAGAAUAGUGUCAAGUGUACAAUUAGUGCACACAACAAAUGUUAGCUUUUGUCUUAUUAUUAUCAUUAUUACAGGAUGAACUUGGUUGGAUGCAGGACCACUGUGUGUCAGAGCUAGCAAAAUCCUUUGAGUCAUUUAGCCCAGUUUAGUAUUAAUAAUAUUGCACAG